rnacentral:rRNA from 1 species
GAUCAUGGCUCAGGAUGAACGCUAGCUACAGGCUUAACACAUGCAAGUCGAGGGGCAUCAUGGAGUUGCUUGCAAACUCUGAGUGGCGACCGGCGCGACGGUGAGUAACGCGUAUCCAACCUCCCUAUAGUAGAGGAUAGCCCGGCGAAAGUCGGAUUAAUACUCUAUGUUUUCCGUUGCAGACAUCUAAGAUGGAACAAAGGCUUGCCGCUAUAGGAUGGGGAUGCGUCUGAUUAGGUAGUCGGCGGGGUAACGGCCCACCGAGCCAUCGAUCAGUAGGGUUCUGAGAGGAAGGUCCCCCACAUUGGAACUGAGACACGGUCCAAACUCCUACGGGAGGCAGCAGUGAGGAAUAUUGGUCAAUGGGCGAGAGCCUGAACCAGCCAAGUAGCGUGCAGGACGACGGCCCUAUGGGUUGUAAACUGUCUUUUAUGGCGGGGAUAAAGUUUACUACGUGUAGUGUUUUGUAGGUACCGCAUGAAUAAGGACCGGCUAAUUCCGUGCCAGCAGCGGC